GAUGAACGCUGGCGGCGUGCCUAAUACAUGCAAGUCGAACGCAUUGUGGUUGAAAUGAUAUGAAGAACUUGUUCAGAUUUUGAUUUUCAACAUUGCAAUGAGUGGCGAACGGGUGAGUAACACGUGGGAAACCUACCUCUUAGCAGGGGAUAACAUUUGGAAACAAAUGCUAAUACCGUAUAAUAAUUAAAACCGCAUGGUUUUAGUUUAAAAGAUGGUCUUGCUAUCACUAAGAGAUGGUCCCGCGGUGUAUUAGUUAGUUGGUGAGGUAAUGGCUCACCAAGACAAUGAUACAUAGCCGAGUUGAGAGACUGACCGGCCACAAUGGGACUGAGACACGGCCAUACU
rnacentral:rRNA from 1 species